rnacentral:lncRNA from 1 species
AGGCCUGGCCCACUAUAAAAGGGGCUGUUUGCCUCCUCCCUCUCUUGCUCUCUUACUCUUUCUCUUACUCUCUUACUCUCCUUCCCUUGUCUCUCUCUUGCUCUCUUGCUCUCCCCCUCUCCGCAUCCCCCCCACACACACACACAUGUCAAUGGCCAGCCUACCAUAAAUGCCUACAAACCAUCCCAACCACUUUCACCGCUGCCAAGCUGCCGCCCAGGCUCAGUGUUGCUCUUUUCCUGUUGUCUGCUGAUCUGGAUGUAGAACUCUCCUCCAAUAUCCUGUCUGCCUGUCUGUCACCACACUGCCCAUCAUA